AACACUAUAGCUUCUAAAAUGAAUUACAUAUUAAAAAAACCACUAUGGAAAAUACUAGAGUUCUAGGACAAGGCAUAUGUUGAAAUUCAUUAUUCAGAACAUUCUAGAAUAGUACUUUAAAAGAAUGUGAACAUUCUUUGUGGCUUGCACCAGUUCCUGACAUUUCAGAAGAUGCUGGAUAUUGAUUAUGAGAAUAAAAGAAGAAUAAGGACUAGAGAGGAUUCAUAUUGAUUUGCAAGAUGAUAAUCUCAUUCUAUUAGAUCAGCACUGACAUAUGAAGAGGAAUCUGAAGAACUGGUCAGGUUAAAAUCAUUAUGGAGUAACAGCCAAUCAAUACCCUCGUUACAUCAAAGGCUGACUCACUCUGAAAUUGCUUCUAUCAUCUUUUUACUUCCUAUUCCUAUGGGAUGUACUUUUUGCUCUCAUCAUGAAUGCCUUCUUGGCCUUACCUGUAUCUUUCUUUGUGGCUUUAUGGUAGUUCUGUGAGAUGCGGAUCCUAAAUUAGUUGUGUUCUUGCUGGCACCCUGGACUCUCCUUGGUUCUGGACUACUGACCCCACACCACACCAAGUUAUCAAUUGCUAUGCUCAGAUGGUGGAAGAAGCCACAUAUCCAUGCUGAUCCACAGAGCAGAAAUCUCUACUUUCUAACCACAAGUGAGCCCUCAAUAUUAUGAGAAAAACACUGAAUUAUAUGGAAAUUAUCUUAUCCCAAA